GGAUGAACGCUGGCGGCGUGCUUAACACAUGCAAGUCGAACGGAAAGGCUCCUGCUUGCAGGGGUACUCGAGUGGCGAACGGGUGAGUAACACGUGGGUGAUCUGCCCUGCACUUCGGGAUAAGCCUGGGAAACUGGGUCUAAUACCGGAUAGGACGAUGGUUUGGAUGCCAUUGUGGAAAGUUUUUCGGUGUGGGAUGAGCUCGCGGCCUAUCAGCUUGUUGGUGGGGUAAUGGCCUACCAAGGCGUCGACGGGUAGCCGGCCUGAGAGGGUGUACGGCCACAUUGGGACUGAGAUACGGCCCAGACUCCUACGGGAGGCAGCAGUGGGGAAUAUUGCACAAUGGGCGCAAGCCUGAUGCAGCGACGCCGCGUGGGGGAUGACGGCCUUCGGGUUGUAAACUCCUUUCGCUAGGGACGAAGCGCAAGUGACGGUACCUGGAGAAGAAGCACCGGCUAA
rnacentral:rRNA from 2 species